rnacentral:lncRNA from 1 species
GUGUGUGUGUUUGUAUAUGUGUACGAGUAAACGUGUGCGCAUGUGUGGUGAAUGCAUGAUUACCAUAAAUACGUUUACUUAUUGUUUAACCUGAAUGAAGUACAAUUAAAAUGAUAAAGGAGAGUCUAGUGGGAAACGAACCAACGGCGCUUCGAUGUAAUUGUCUUUUUAUACCAUUUAAGCCUCUUAGGAAUGUUUGCCCUGAAGCGAACGCUUUAAGCAGUUGCAGCCGGAGAAAGUUAUACGCUCGCACACACAUACUUAUGUAUAUAUGUAUAUAUAUAUAUAUAUAUAUAUACACACAUGUACGUAUGUACGUAUGUAUAUGUGUCUAUGUAUAUAUGAACGUAUGCAUGUGAACGCAUAAAGUUUGUGUGUAUAUAUUUAUGUGCAUGUGUUCAUGACAACUGGUGUUGGUGUGUUUACGUCCCAUAACUUUGUGGUUCGGAAAAAGUGUCCGAUAGAAUAAGUACCAGGCUUAUCAAAAAAUAAAUAAAUAAAUAAAUAAAAUAAAAUAAAUAAAACUAAGUACUGGUGUCGAUUCAUUUGAUUAUAAACUCUUCAAGGCCGCUGUGUAAUGGCUGAAAUGCCGCUGUGUAAUGGCUGAAACAAGUGAAAGCUAAAAGAUGAAAGAUAAAAAAAUCUCCAUUAAGCUACAACUUCCGUUUGUGCUGUGAUGUAAUUGCUGAAACAAUACGCAAUGCCAUCCAUGGCAAUGAGUGCCUGCGGAUACAUCCAGGCAAUUCCUCUGUUAUUUAAUACAUUCAUGUAUACAUACAUAUAUCUCUUAUUUGUUUCAAUCAUUAGACUCCGGCCAUACUGGGGCACCACCUUCAAGAAUUUAUAGUCGGAUGAAUCGACCCUAGUACUUCAAUUCUUUAAGCCUGAUACUUAUGCUCUCUGACUUUUUACUAACCGCUGAGUAACGGGGACAAGCGGUGGAGGGAGACAGACACGCAUGCGCGCGCGCAAUGGGCUUCUUUCAUUUUCCGUCUACCAAUUCUACUCAUAAGGCUUUGGUGGGCCCGAGGCUAUAGUAGAAGUGUGACUGAACCCGGAACCAUAUGGUUACGAAGCAAGCUUCUUACCACACAGCUACGCUUGCGCCUGAAUGUACAUAUCAUCAUAAAGAUUACAUAACAGACUUCAUGUUUGGCACUGAAACGAAGAGUCAUUUACAGUCAUGAAGUUCAGUUGUCUUUGGAAAUUUACAGCCUCUUUGCCCUAAUUAUCAAUUCAUGCUUAUGCCGAUAAUUACUGAGGGUCAUUGCAAUGUUUUAGUAACAAUGUCGAAAGCGAAGAUUUUGGAACAAAGAAAGGGAUCAGAGAUAAUACUCACUUUCCUAAUUACAAUCUGAAAGUGGAAAUUUUACAUAUAUAUGCAAAACUUUUCUAAAACCUUUUUGACGUUAACUGUCUGGGACCGUCCUUAGUUCUAUAAAAGGUAAAAAGGCCGCUUUCUAAAUUAAGACCUUCCGCCAAAAUUUCAUGUUAAUUUAUGUUGAAAUAUCAAUAUGAUAAGGAUAAAGCUAUUUAACAAAAUUAUUAUUUUCAAAAUUAAUUCAAUCAGAUGCAGUAUACUUCUACCGAAAUGGGGGUAACAAAAGGGUUAAAGGGAUCUAAACGAGAGAUUUCCAAAUAUUAGCUAAAUAAUAAUUUUACUGAAUUUUUUUAUUAUUUUCAAACUUAAUCGAAACAAGGGCAUUGUAUUUCAGCAGAAAUUUGGAAGCAAAAAGGUUAAAAUGAUCAAAAUGAAAACUCUCCAUUAAAAUUUCAUGUUAAUUUUUCGUUUAUAAUGACAAAGAUAUUUCACUGAAUAAUUCAUUAUUUUGAAACUUAAUUGAAAGAAAUGCAGCGAAUUUCAGCAGAAACAUCAAAGAUACAAAAGGGAUAACCUGUAGCGCCUUUUGGCUAUCGUUUUGUAUCGAAGGUAUACAUUGCUGUAUACAUUGUAACGAAGGUAGUAGACAUUGCUGUAGGGAAUCUUCGGUAUCCUACACCGAACAGCCGUGGAUAAAAUAUCAAGAAACGGGGUUCAAUGUAAUGGACAAGCCCCGUCACAAAUCAAAAUCGCUGGCUUGGUGCCUAAAUUAGAAGCCAUUAAUCAAACAAAGAGUGAAGACGGCGGGCUGACAGAAUCCUUAACGCGCCGAGUAAAAUGCUUAGCGACAUUUGGUCUGUCUUUUUGCUCUGAGUUCAAAUUCCCCCAUGUCGACUUUGGCUUUUUUCCUUUCGGGGUCGUUAAAUAAAGUACCAGUUGAACGCAGUGGUCGAUGCUAUCGACUUUUCCCACUCCGAAAAUUUCAGACCUCGUGUCCACGGUAGAAAGGAUUAUUAAAAGCAGGGUGAUGGUUGUUAAAAUCGUUUGUGUAGCAUAGUUCCUGUUGGACCCUGAUUAAACAGAUCUAUGAUGAAAUCCAUUCCAGCCACGACAAUUCCGUUUUUGGAGACGCGUCUAGGUCUAAAUAAUGUCAAGUAUUUUCCCCUUUUUAAAUGUGAUAUAAUAGAGAGUUGGCGGUUAUGGCUAAGCAGAUAAAUCACUUACAAACUCCUACAUAAGCUUUAUUGUUCCAUUUCAAGAGGGGCAGGCUUGCGCACUUCAUAUUCGUGGCUCCGAUGAAGCUAUAAGGUGUUAUUCAGUCACUCAGCUUUGAGUCCACCGUAUCUUACAGCAGAAACAGCUGUAAGCUAAUGCAUUUCAAAAGAUAAUCGUUCAUUUCUUUGUCUUCUCCUUUUCUUAUUACCGCUCUGUACUCGACUAACAUUUGAUUGAGUUCUACACCACGUUAUUAGUCUCAAAAUGCCUAUGCAAAAUACACACACACACACACAUAUAUAAAUACACACUAUUUCGGUCACGUGGAGCCAAAUAUCCCGGAUGUAUAGGAGUUACGGGAAUGCAGAGAGGUGCGUCAUCAGGAACACACCUAACCUCGUUCCUUUUGCAUGUGCACGUGCAUGUGUGUAAAUAACUAUAUACGUACAAAUUAUAUAUAUAUAUAUAUAUGCGUGUGUGUGUGUGUGUGUGUGUGUGUGUGUGUGUGUGUGUGUGUGUGUGUGCAUACAUACACAGAUAUAUUUACACAAAUGUGUAUUAAGAAAUAUGUAUACAUACACGCACCCCCACAUAUACACACACCCCUUACACACACAGACUCGUAUACAUGCGCAUAUAUAAGCACAGGUGUAGCUGCGUGGAAAAAAGCUUCCUUCUCAACCAUGUGGUUCCGGGUUCAAUCCUACUGCAUGGCACCUUGGACACGUGUCUUAGCCCAGGGUAGACUGAAGCUUUGUAGAUGGAUUCAGUAGACAAAACCUGAAAAAAGCGCAUCAUACACACAUGCAUACACACACACACACACACACACACACAACAUACAUACGUAUAUAUAUAUAUAUAUAUAUAUAUAUAUAUAUAUAUAUAUAUAUAUGUAUAUCUAUAUAUAUGUAUAUAUAUAUAUAUCUAUAUAUAUGUAUAUCUAUAUAUAUAUAUAUAUAUAUAUAUAUAUAUAUAUAUAUAUCCUUCUUUCCUGAGCGUCCAAUAAUACUAUAUUUGUUCCACGUCCUCGCGUUGUUGUGUUUUUUUGUGCUUUCUUGUUUGGAUUAACUUUAUAUAUAUAUAUAUAUAUAUAUAUAUAUAUAUAUAUAUAUAUAUAUAUAUAUAUCCUUCUUUCCUGAGCGUCCAAUAAUACUAUAUUUGUUCCACGUCCUCGCGUUGUUGUGUUUUUUUGUGCUUUCUUGUUUGGAUUAACUUUAUAUAUAUAUAUAUAUAUAUAUAUAUAUAUAUAAGUUUAACAAUUAAGGAUAAUCUCUUAAUAAGGGAUCUUAACAAGAAAUUAUCGGGUAGCUAGCGUGAAAACCUCAUAAAAGAAAAGAAUCCGAAAAUAAUUUUUUUCUUUUGAACAAAUUAAUUAUAUCUAUAUUGUAUAGAGGGCAUUAUUACACAUAAAUGCCUCACACUAGGAGGGACAGAGUCAUUACUACCAAAAAUUAUACUAAUCAAACCCAAAUGCAGUUUUUCAAAGCAAGACAUUUAAAAAUGAAUUAUGUUCUGUAUCACCGUGAUUUCACAUACAACUUGCGUCUAAUGAUCGUCAGCAGAACUGAUUCUGAAUACAUCAUAAAUAAAUUUAUUUAUGAUGUAUUCAGAAUCAGUUCUGCUGACGAUCAUUAGACGCAAGUUGUAUGUGAAAUCACGGUGAUACAGAACAUAAUUCAUUUUUAAAUGUCUUGCUUUGAAAAACUGCAUUUGGGUUUGAUUAGUAUAAUUUUUGGUAGUAAUGACUCUGUCCCUCCUAGUGUGAGGCAUUUAUGUGUAAUAAUGCCCUCUAUACAAUAUUAUAUAUAUAUAUAUAUACAUACUCACACACAAUAGCACAGAUGGGUUCCAGUUCCCUACAGCUGUUUCAGGCAUGUUCUUUAUUGAUGAACAAAUGUUACAUCAUGCAAAAAAGAAAAAAAAUGAUUUCAUCAGGUGAAUACAGGGAAGAAUUAACAAGUAGAGUUUCUCACAGAACAGAACAUACUAUCACAUGACUCAGCGACUUAAUUUCGGCAGGUGAGUGAGUGAGUAGUUUCAGCUGUUUCUAAGUGUAUUGCUGCUUAUUUUACAGACCCUGAAAUGGUGAAGAAGAAUAAAGAAAACCUGGACAGUAAAGAGCCGGAAGAAAUGCAGCAAAGCACUUUGUACGGCGAUGUAGGGAUUCUGCCAGCUCUCCACGGAAGCUUCUUUUAUAUCUUCUGCAAGCUGCUCUAUUUAUACGCACGCGGAGGCAGGCACAAGCAUAUAUAUAUGGUGUGUGUGCGUGCGUAGACAUAUAUAUAUAUAUAUAUAUAUAUAUAUAUAUACAUGCCGGAUGUGUAGAAGUUGAAUGAAUGCAGACAGGCGCGCCAUUGACACACCUUAUAGCAUUCAUGUGAAAUACCUGCCAAAAUAUUCAUACAGAUUUCUGAAUCCCCCUCUCUCUCUCGGUCUCACCACUCUGCACCUAUCUCUCUUCACGUGUGUGUUUGAGGUCUACAAUUCCCUCAACACACUCCUCCAACAAUCGCUUCUGCAGGAUUUCUCGCUCUUAUUUUUUUUUUUUUUUGUUAUUGCGUGACUAAAAGAUGUCAAUAACAAGUUCUUUGGAAUAUGACAUGUGUGUUUAUAUUUGUGAAUUAAGAAAGUUAUUGGUUUCCUCUGGAAUGGGUAUAAUUCUCUCAACGGUUCCCUUAAAAAUACCGGUAAUCCUUUUCAUUUCGGUUCCUCAUCCAAAUGGAGGCAAUGACCAGCAUUUUCAAGUGGACCGCUUCAAAAAUUGUGGAUAUCAUCCCAUCUGGAACCGUUGGUGAUCCACACAUGAACAGUAUAUAUAUAUAUAUAUGUGUGUGUGUGUGUGUGUGUGUGUGUGUGUGUGUGUGUAUUAUGAUUAUUUGCAAGAUCCAGUAUAACCGUGGCAGAGUCAAGGACGGUAUACACGUGUAUCAACAGUGUGUACGGACACUCUCGUGCUUACUAAGGCUUAUACAGGUUUGCCUCUCCAGGCCACAGUCCACUUAAGGGUCAAGAUCCAACGCAUAUAUAUAUAUAGAGAGAGAGGGGGGAGAAAGAAAGGGAGGCAGAAAGAGAGAGGGAGAGAGUGCGUGUGCUUAAUAAGCGACUUCUUUGGAUUCUAUGACUCACGCGUUGGUUUGUAGAGGCGACGAGUCUGGAAGUUUUGCACAAGAGGACUUUCAAUUUUGUUCGAGUCUCUCAUCCGAGGAUUCAAUCCGAAACCAGGACUUCCGGUUGAGUGAAGCAUUACAAAUACACUGAUGCUUUUCUACCGUACCAGAACCCACAGCAUGCAGAUAAAAACUACACACACACACAUGUAUUUAUACAUAUAUACAUAUUUUCAGAAAUAAAUAUAUAUGGGUGUACACAUGUAUACAUAUAUAUACAUAUGAAUAUCUACAUAGAUACAUAAAUGUUUAUAUGCGUGUGUGUGUGUUUGUAGGUGUAUGUAUGCACGUGUGUGUAUAUAUAUGUAUGUAUGUAUGCGUGUAUAUAUGUACAUGUGUUUGUAUGUAUGCUAAGUGAAAAAAAAAAAAGACAGGUGAAACUGUGAGUUGAAGAAAGGUGUGUGAGGUGGGAAAGAAAAAAUGUUUGCACUUUUCAGCAACUGAAAAAAUGUGCUUGUAAUGUUUAUUUACACACACACACACGUGUAGUUGAUAUAUUCAUGUUUGUGUGUGUGUGUGUGUGUGUGUAAAUACAUAUAUAUAUAUGUAUAUAUAUAUAUAUAUAUGUAUGUAUGUAUGUAUGUAUAUAUAUAUAUAUAUAUACAUGCACACACACACACACAUAUAUAUAUAUAUGUAUGUAUGUGCGUGUGUAUGUGUGUGUGUGAGUGCAUGUGUGUUUACAUAUACGUGGGCGAACGCUGUAUUUUAAAUAAAUUUGUAUAUUCUAAAAAAUAUACAAAACAAUAAAUAAAUAAAUAAACAAACAAAAAAAACAAACAAACAAGCAACCAAGUAAAUAAGAAUCUCUUCCCCCCACCACCACCCCCACGUCAGCCCGUCCUUUAUCUAUUGUAAGCAAUCGGUGCCGGAGGCGGAGGCGGCGGCGGCGGUUGCGACUCGUGCUAUGGAAAUGACAUUGAAAAACGUCAACUGAAAUAUUCUUUAUGGCCCAGCGUUCACUGAAUUAUAGACAGGUGCCAAAUGGUUGUGUGGCCAUGUGUGUGAAUACGGAGGUAGAUGUGUGUGUGUGUGUGUGUGUGUAAGUGUAUAUAAAUGCGCGUGUGCGUGAUGCAUAUUUAUAUAUAUACAUGCCUCUACACACACACACACACACACACACAUAUAUAGUUGAAAUUUACAGAAAAACAAAAGGCGAAGACACGCACGCACACACAUACAUAUAUGUAUACAUAUAUACACAUACACAUAUUUAUACAUACAUAUAUAUAUAUAUAUAUAUAUAUAUAUCGAAAUAUGUAUAUGUAUAUGUGUGUGUAUAUAUAUAUAUAUAUAUAUAUAUAUAUAUAUAUAUAUAUAUAUAUAUAUAUAUAUAUAUAUAUAUAUAUAUAUAUAUAUAUAUUAUAUAUAAAUUUAUAUAUAUUUAUAUGUAUGUAUAUAUACAUGCAUACAUAUAUACUAUAUGACUCAUAUGUACACAAACUUCACGCGCGGCCAGGGAGGGAUACAAUCAGACAUAUACGUACGCUCAUAGCCGAAUAUAUUUAAUUCCGUCUGAAUAUAUGUUGGAACCCUGAGUGUAUGAGUAUGUACACACACACACACACACACACACACACACACACACACACACACGCGCGUGCACACACGCAUCGAUUUGUUUUUAAUUCAGUUGAACGAUGUAACAAACAUUUUUAUACAUACCUUCUUACACACAAACGCGCGCACACCUACCCACAGCCUGUCCCCCACCACCCACAUAGUAAUCUGUAAAUGUUUGGAUGUUUACAAAGUAUUUACAUUCCUAAUGAAAGCCUUCUAAUCUCAAACAUCUACAAAACAGAAACGUUACGCUUAAUCUCCUGCGUGGUAUUUAGUUUCUCAGAAAUAACAACCAAAUUUUCCUUAAAUCGCACCCUUGUCUUGAGAAAUAAUAAAAUGGGAGUUGACACACAAUAGGAAGGUAGUCUCUGGAGUGAAAAACAUAAAAUGGCCACAGUUGGAACGUCACUGAUGAACUUAAUGUGAAAUUACCUGUACUAAACCUCCCUACCUCCACCACCACUACCACCAUCAUCACCUACAACAAUAACACCGACUACAAACAUCAGAUGAAUGGAAACAUGUUUAGAGAGUAUAUUAUAUCUUUUAUCAUGUGUCUUGGGAGAUUCUUUACGCCAAUAAUAACACACGCUCAGGCUCAAUUCCACUUCUUUAUUAAGUCAAUUAGUUGAAUAUCCAACUAAUUAACCAAUAGAUCAUUUGUUUAAUGUGUUGGUUUAACAAUCAAUCGGUCGUUUGUUUCUCCAUCACAGAUCUUUCGUUGCUGUUCGCAAACUUUUCAGUAACCCGUGAAUUCAUCAGGCCUUGGGGCGAUUAGGGAGGCACAGGUGACUGAAAAAGUUGGGAGCAGUAACGACAGAACUUUGACGAACAAACAAACAACCUAUUACUUGUUUAACCAACACGUUAAACAAACAAUCGAUUUGUUUGUUGUUUACAUAUAUAAGCAAUUGACUAACAAUAAAGAAGUGGAGUUGAAACCGUGUGUGUGUUUGUUAUUAUUGGCGUAAUGACUCUCCCAAGACAACAAAUCUUGUUUCAACACAUGGAUACACGUCAAGAAUCUUGCAAACCAAAUACAAAAACAAAAUAUCUUUUAUCAUUUACUUCUUUCGGUCAUUGGACAGCGGCCAUCCUGGAGCACUGUCUUGAAGGGUCAAUUCGGGCAGAACGACACCUGAACUUAUUUUGUAAGCCUGCUCCUUAUAUUAUUGGUUUCUUUUACUGAACCGCUAAGUGUCGUAAACAAACUAACCUCGGUUGUUAAGGAAUGGAAAAGGACAAACACAAGCAAGUGCACUCGAUUAGGCGCGCGCGCGCACACACACACACAUACGUAUAGGGCUUCAUUUAGUUUCCAUCUACCAAAUUCAUUUACAAUGCCUUGGUUGGCCCGAGGCUGUAGUACAAGGCACCUGCGUAAAGGUACAGCGCAGUGGUACUGAACCCCGCGCCACGUUGUUAAGAAGCCAGUUUCUUACCACACAGCCGCGCCAGUGCCUCGCCAUGUGUAAUUCUCGAUAGCUAGAUGACUCUACCACAAUGUCAUUGUUCCGAGGUUCACCACAGGUGUUGGUGUAUUUGUGUCUUUGUAACUUAGCUGUUUUACAAAAGAGACCGAUUAGAUAUAUGCCAGGCUUUAAAAAAAGUCCUGGGCCGAUUCAGCAAUGCCCCAGCAUGGCCGCAGUCUAGUGAUUGAAACAAUUAAGAAAAACAGAAAAAGAUGCAUUGUUAUAUUCUCUUUUGUUUUUAAUUACCGCCAUUUGCCUCAGGCUCUCACCUUUUUGAUGGAGUUGAAGCGAACCAUGGUGACAUGUGGCAAUUUUAGAGAUGGCGAAGCCCAUCUCUCAAGAUCUGACCACGGGUGAUCUCUUCUAAUUAGCGAGACACAGACAGAGUAAAGACUGGGAGACAGGAAAGAAAUCAACUCCAGUACUGAAUUGGUACUUUAUCGUGUCCAAAAUGGAUGGAAAGUAACACACACACACACACACACACACACACACACAUGCAAGCACGCAGUCAGAGUAAGUGUAGUGAACAAUAUAUAUAAAAAAAGACGAUGUGAAAGGGACAGGCUUUAACGUAUAUAAUAUUAUUAUAAGGAUUAAAAGGAAGGGAAAGUAGCAGAACGGUUCGGACGUAAGUCCUUCAUCAGAAGAAACAGAAAGACAUAAGGACGUGAGAAAAAGCGAAAAUGGACAGGCAGACACACACACACACACACACUUUGCCAUAGAAAGAAUUUUAUGAUUCAUGUAAUUUACUUUUUUUCGUUUAUUUUUUCAGAUUGAACGUGGAAACUUUUCCAACUCCAGAAACAAGAAAAAUAAACAAGUGCAGUAACAGCAGCAGCGACACCUACAAUAAGGAGUGAAUCGUAAUGGAGCCAGUCGACUUGCUAGUCAUAAUAGGUAAAUCUCUGGCAAAUCCACCAUUAAAAUAUGGGAGAAAAUAUUGGAAAAUGAAGUGUAAGUUAAAUUAGGUUGGAAAUGAAGAUAUCGGGUUAAGGGUGAAAUGUUUAUCGCGUUCGGUCGAGUUGAAUGAGGUGGUUAAAUAACAACAACAAAACAACGAUAACAACAACCACGGCGACUGGAACAAUGCCAACGAUGACAACGACGGCGACAGCGAAAAAUACGAGAACUAAAACAACAACAACAGCAUGUGUAAAUAUCAAUUCUACUGGUAGACCUCAGAGUUACUCAAGUUGAUUAGGGACUGGUUUGUGGAUCAAUGGAAGAGCGUUUGGUAAUAUGGCAGACAAAGGAAUGAAAGGUGUCAGAGAAGAACAAGCCAACAAGUUAUCAUCAAAAAGAUCCCUUGACUGAUGAGACACCUGCCCUGAAUAAGUGUUACAAGAGUGGACUCCGCUAAAGUUCCCACCAUGGGGCAAAAUGCUUCAUCAAUCCAUCGCCUUAAAUUAAGGAACUUUUUAUAUAUUUUUUUAUAUUUUAGUCGCUCCUGCGGAAAACAAAAAGCAAAGUUGACCUCAGCGGAACUCGAACAUGGAACACAAACAAUUGGAAAGUAGUCUAACCGACAAAGAACGAUGCCAAUUUGCCGAUUAUGCCAAAAUAAAAACAAAUAUAAAAUAAAACAUGAAGUUAUUAAAGUCGUCGAAAUUUUCAAGUUUAUUAAUGCUCAACAUUUUUCUGCCUUCCCUCUCUAACUGUCAGUGUGUAUGUGUGCGUGUGUGUGUGCGUGUGUGUGUGUG